AUACAUGGCCUAACUAUCUCAAAGGCACCAGAUCUCUUCUGAUCUUGUAAGCUAAGGAAGAUCAUCCCUGGUUAGUAUACAUAGAUGUGAGGCCACCAACAAAUACCAGGUGCUGUAGGUU
rnacentral:rRNA from 11 species